UAUUCCUACGGGGCGCAGCAGUAGAGAAUCUUCCACAAUGGACGAAAGUCUGAUGGAGCAACGCCGCGUGAGUGAAGAAGGGUUUCGGCUCGUAAAGCUCUGUUGGUAGUGAAGAAAGAUAGAGGGAGUAACUGGCCUUUAUUUGACGGUAAUUACUUAGAAAGUCACGGCUAACUACGUGCCAGCAGCCGCGGGAAUACGUAGGGGGCAAGCGGUGUCCGGGUUUUUUUGG
rnacentral:rRNA from 1 species